rnacentral:lncRNA from 1 species
CUUUGUUCUGGGCCUGACAUCUGGCGCUCUCUUCCUCUCUGGCCUCUAGUUGUUCCUGAAGCGCUGUAAUUCAAUUACUAAUGUUAAAAAAUUAUUAGAUAUAUAAAAGGUACAUAUUCAAAGAGUGUAUGAGUCAUAUUUUAAUAAGUUAAUGAUAUGUUAAAAAAAUCAAUAAAAUAAUGAUAUAUUUAUUAUGCUUGAUGAAGUCGAAACACUCACCAGUAACAUCAGCAGCAUUUUCAUUGAAUUGCUGAGAUGCAGCAUUUUGUAUGUCUCUGAGUUUCCUUUGUAGAUGAAGAAUUUGCAUAACUUCGAGUACAAAAUAAAGUAGUGAGUUACAGUAUUUUAAAGUGGCACUAAAUAAAUAAACGUUAUCAUGGAAUUUUUAGAUAAGUCUUUGUUCUGUUGAGAACAAGGUAAAAAAGUACUUAAGCAGCAUGUCCAUUAUAUUCAAAAUAUGCAGUGGGCCAUUUUUAAAACAGUCGUUGGCUAUUUCAGGUUCCUAUAGUAACUCACUCAGGUAAGAAUUAUUGCUGUCUUUCUUCUUCAGUCUUUUUAUGUUCUCCUCAAGCUGCUUCUCGCUUUCCUUAAGCUGUGUUGUCAGCUCUGAGAGAUGGAAUUUAAAAGGUCAUGUCCCAACCUGAGAAAUCUGACUUUAUCAUAAUUAAUUCUACUUUGGGCUCUUUUCAAUCUGUAUCACUGAAGCAUUCAGAUUGCGCGCUAGAAAUGUAAAGGUAAUUUCUGAUUGAGCCGACUUAUGCAGUAUUUACCAUGAAUGCUGACACAAACAUUGCCUUUAAAUUUCAAUCAAGUUGUAAAGCUGAAUUUCCGCAAUACGGAUUGAAUAUAUCCCUUUAUUUAUAUACAGUACCAGUCAAAAGUUUGGACACACCUACUAAUUCCAGGGUUUUUCUUUAUUUUUAAUAUUUUCUACAUUGUAAAACAAUAGUGAAGACAUCAAAACUAUGAAAUGACACAUAUGGAAUCAUGUAGUAACCAAAAAAGUGUUAACCUGUUUGGGAUAGGGGGCAGUAUUUUCACGGCUGGAUAAAAAACGUACCCGAUUUAAUCUGGUUACUACUCCUGCCCAGUAACUAGAAUAUGCAUAUAAUUAGAUUUGGAUAGAAAACAUUCUAAAGUUUCUAAAACUGUUUGAAUGGUAUCUGUGAGUAUAACAGAACUCAUAUGGCAGGCAGAAACCUGAGAAAAAAUGCAACAAGGAAGUGUGAAAAUCUGAGGUUUGUAGUUUUUCAAGUGAUUGCCUAUACAGUAUACAGUGACUUAGGGUUCAUUUUGCACUUCCUAAGGCUUCCACUAGAUGUCAACAGUCUUUAGAACGUUGUUUCAUGCCUCUACUGUGAAUAGGGAGAGAAUAAGAGCUCCUGGAAGUAGAUGAGUGAGAAAAUGACAUGAGUUCAGUGGCACGCGCUCACAUGAGAGUUAGCUGUGUUCCUUUUCUUUUUUGAAGACAAAGGUCUUGUCCGGUUGGAAUAUUAUGGAAGAUUUAUGAUAAAAACAUCCUAAAGAUUGAUUCUAUACAUCGUUUGACAUGUUUCUACGAACUGUAAUAUAACUUUUUGGACUUUUCGUCUGAACUUAAUGCGCGAGCACAGCGCAUUUGGAGUACUCGACCGAACGCGCGAACAAAAAGGAGGUAUUUGGACAUAUAUAUCGACUUUAUCGAAACAAAUUAACAUUUAUUGGGGAACUGGGAUUCCUGGGAGUGCAUUCCGAUGAAGAUCAUCAAAGGUAAGUGAAGAUUUAUAAUAUUAUUUCUGAGUUUUGUUGACUCCACAAAAUGGCGGGUUUGGUUUCGUGUCUGAACGCUGUACUCAGAUUAUUGCAAAGUGUGCUUUCGCUGUAAAGUUGUUUUGAAAUCUGACACAGCGGUUGCAUUAAGGAGAAGUGUAUCUAUAAUUCUUUGAAUAACAGUUUAAUAUUUUAUCAACGUUUAUGAUGAGUAUUUCUGUAAAUUGAUGUGCUCAUUCACCGGAAGUUUUGGGAGACAAAACAUUUCUGAACAUUACACACCAAUGUAAAAUGUUUUUUUUGGAUAUAAAUAUGAACUUUAUCGAGCAAAACAUACAUGUAUUGUGUAACAUGAAGUCCUAUGAGUGCCAUCUGAUGAAGAUCAUCAAAGGUUAGUGAUUAAUUUUAGCUGUAUUUCUGUUUUUUGUGACGCCUCUCCUUGCUUGGAAAAUGGCUGUGUGGUUUUUCUUGUCUAGGUGCUGUCCUAACAUAAUCUAAUGCUAUGCUUUCGCCAUAAAGCCUUUUUGAAAUCGGACAAUGUGGUUGGAUUAACGAGAAGUUCAUCUUUAAAAUGGUGUAAAAUAGUUUUAUGUUUGAGAAAUUUGAACUAUGAGAUUUUUGUUGUUUUGAAUUUGGCGCCCUGCUAUUUCACUGGCUGUUGGCAGUGUGUCCCGCCGGUGGGACGCUAGCGUCCCACAUACCCCAGACAGGUUAACUGUGAAAAUGGCAACCAUUGGUCGAGUACCAAAGUUUGAGUCUACAAAAGAGGAUUUGAAUUCCUAUUUAGAGCAUUUUGAGUGUUGGCUGAAAUCAAAGAUGAAAAGAAAGCAGACGUAUUUCUCAGUGUUUUGGGUACAACUGAGUAUGGAUUUCUGAAAGGUCUCAUUGAACCAAUAAAAGCAGUGGAGUUGACCUAUGCAGAACUGACUGAAACUCUUUCAAGGCAUUUCAAGCCUAAGCCAAUUCUCAUUGCAGAAUGUUUCAGAUUUUACCAACGUCACCAGAGUCAAGGGGAAACCGUGGCUGACUACAUCCUUGCUUUGAAAAGGCUGGCAAGUACAUGUGAUAGAGAUAAUCAUCAGCACAGUGGAUGUCGAUUCCAAAAUGAAAAGUGCCACAAUUGUGGAAAGGUUGGACAUUUACAGAGUGUGUGUAAAGCUCCAAAACGCACAGCAAGAGCGCACAAGGUGUCAGAUGCAGCACAAGAAGAGAAAGGUAAAACUGAAACAGUAUUGGAACUGUUCACAGUGUACACAGCUCAACAACAAAAAGAUGUAAUCUAUCUCAGCAUGGAGUUAGCGGGAAAACCAGCAAAAAUGUAGCUGGACACUGGAGCGUCUGUAUCUCUUGUUCCAGAGAGACUCUACAAAGAAAAACUGAAAGAGUGCCCUCUUCAGCCAGCGUCCAUCUGCCUUUCUUCAUACACUGGUGACACUAUUCCUGUGUUAGGGCAGAUCCAAGUACCAGUCCGGUAUGAGAGAAAGGAGUGGACGCUACCGCUUGUCAUUGUUAAAGGAGAAAAAUCAGCCUUGCUAGGCAGAAACUGGCUCCAAAAGAUCAAGUUGAACUGGGGAGAAAUCUUCAGUCUGAGAAAUGACAAACCAGUGAGUCAGGCUACACUCACUAACAUGCUGGAGAAGCACAAAUAACUUUUCAAAGAUGGCUAAGGCGAAAUACAAGACUUCACAGCAAAAGUCAGAGUGCAAGAAGGAACCAAGCCUAUCUUUCACAAACCACGUCCAAUUCCCUAUGCUCUGAAGGAAGAAGUAGAGAUGGAACUGGACCACGUACAGAAGAAUAACAUCAUCACAAAAGUAGAGGAGCGACUGGGCCGCUCCGAUCGUUGUAGUCCCAAAGACCGUCAGAAUGUGCGGAGACUACAAGGUCACAGUAAAUCGCUGCAUACUAACAGAGGAAUAUCCACUACCAAACGCUGUAGAUCUGUUUGCCACUCUAGCUCGUGGGAAGGUUUUCAGUAAGCUGGACCUGUCAUUCGAUUAUCAGCAACUGAAGCUGGAUCCGGAGAUAGAACAGUAUCUGACCAUCAAUACACACAAGGGGCUAUUCAGAUUCAAUCACUUGGCCUAUGGAAUCUCAACAGCUCCAGCAAUAUUCCAACACACAAUAGAUCAGAUCUUGGUCCCCACAAUGCGAAGAAGCAUUCAAGACUUGCAAACAGCGUCUGCUAAAGAGCAAGUCGCUUGCCCAAUACGACACAGAGAUGAAGCUGAGACUUGCGUCUGAUGCAUCUCCAUAUGGAGUAGGAGCCAUCAUCUCACAUGUUCUACCGUCAGGUGAAGAACACCCUAUUGCAUUUGCAUCACCAAGUGAGAAAAAUUAUGCUCAAAUUGAGAAGGAAGCCCUGAGCAUAAUAUUCGGAGUGAAGAUGUUUCACAAAUACCUCUACGGAAGAAAGUUCCAACUACCUACAGAUCUGUCACGACUCCUACCGAAGGUGGCUCCCCCUCCUGCUCGGGUGGCGCUCGGCGGUCGUCAUCACCGGCCUACUAGCUGCCACUGAUUCCCUUUUUGUUUUCCCCCUUUUCGUUAUUAGGUGCACCUGUUCUGAGUUGGGCUGAUUAGCAGGCUUUGUUAGCCAGUAGGCCUGCCUGCUCUUUGUGCGGGAUUAUUUCAUUGUAUGCGGUGCGUGGUGACACGCUGUUUGUUGUACAUUUUCAGUGGUGCGUGUGUUUUGCACAAGCUGUGUUUUUUUCCCUUUUGUUUGGGGCACUUUGUUUUGUAGUGCGCUCUGUGCGCUGUUUGGGUUGGCUUGUAGUUUAGUCAUUGUGCCUAUUAAAGCCAAUACCCUGAAUCGCUGUUUUCCUGCACUUGAUUCCUCGUCAGCAAACACCCACGCCUUACAAGAUCACAAGCCUCCUUGGACCAAAAUCAGCCAUACCAACCCUUGCUGCACUUCGAAUGCAACAUUGGGCUCUGUUUGUCUUGUGUAGUUUCUUAAUCAUUGUACCUAAACUGUAUGUGUAAACAUGUAUUCGCAGGGCCCAGCUGUAAAAUAUACCUUGGUCUCAGUCUGUGUUCCUUGUUGAAAUAAAGGUAUAAUAUUGCUAGCCUACAACUAUGAGAUCGAGUACAGAUGAUCCAGUGAUCACGCAAAUGCAGAUGCACUAUCAAGACUACCAUGCAAUAGUGACUCCGACAGUGAAGAAUGAUAGAGCAGUCUUCCAGAUCUCUCUUAUCGACGAACUGCCCAUAUCUGCUUUAGACAUAGCAGAGGAAAUGAGGAAAGACCCAGUGCUUAGGCAUUAGGCAGUUGGCCAACCUUCGUAAAUGACGAUAACCUUCGUCCAUUCAUCGACAAGAAAGACCAGUUGUCUACUGAUCAAGGAUGUGUUCUGUGGGGAUCAAGGGUGGUGGUAACUCACAAAUUCCAGAGGAGACUGCUAUCUGACCUGCAUGAGGGACUUCCAGGGAUCACUCGAAUGAAAGCACUCGCCUGCAGUUAUCUGUGGUGGCCUGGACUGGAUCAGGACAUUCAGCAGCAUGUAGGCCACUGCUCACCUUGUGAAGCUGUUUGAAACAAGCCUGCUGCUGCACCUCUUCAUCCAUGGUCCUGGGCUGCUACACCAUGGGAAUGCAUCCAUGUGGAUUACGCCAAUGUUGACAAACAACAUUUCCUUGCUGUGGUCGAUGUCCAUUCCAAGUGGAUGGAAGUGUUCCCUACUCAAUUGACCACAGCUGAGAAGAGUAUCAAUCUUCUCAGACACCUGUUCGCAUCCUUUGGACUAGUCAAGGAGCUCGUAUCGGACAAUGGCCAUCCUUUCACGUCAAACGAUUUUGAAAUGUUUCUCAAGAACAACGGAGUAAGGCACAUCCUGUCACCACCUUACCAUCCGGCAUCAAAUGGAGCAGCGGAGAGAGCCGUGCAAACCUUUAAGAAGGCCUGGACUAGACUCAAGGUUCAGUCUGUGCCCACCCAGCAAAGGCUUCCCCGUUUCCUGUUUACUUACCGUAACACACCACACACAGUAACGGAACAUACACCAGCUGACCUGUUUCUGAAAUGCCAAACACGUACCCACCUGACAUUGAUGAAACCAGACUUGUCAAGCACUGUGGCAAAGCACCAGCUACAGCAGAAGAAAGCUCAUAACAGACACUCAAAGACUGUCAGAGAAUUCAAAGAGGGAGAGAGAGUGAUGGUACAUGAUUUCAGACACCCCAAGCACCUGUGGAACUCAGGUGUGAUCUUGCAACGCAGAGGACCUUUGACUUACCAAGUUGGUCAUCGCCAUGUCAACGUUCAUGUGGAUCAUCUGCUGUGGUCCAACACCCCAGCAGAGACAUGCCAAGAAAACAAGAACAAUAACGACCCCCAGGACUAUUCUCCUGAAUAGUGGACGUACGGAAGAGACAGAGCCUGAUCUUCCACCAGAACCUGGCCCACCAUCGGAAGCCCAGUAGGAGCGGAGAUAUCCUAUUUGACAGCAAAGGGCACCUCAAAAGCUUGACCUGUGAGUUGAGCUGUUUCAGGAGGUAACAGACAGUAAAACAAAGAAACACUUUAAUAUGUCCUAGAUAAAAGGAAAGAAAAAGGACAUUACCUGGGUUAGUUAUUAGGACACAAACUCCAUCUUCAGGGCAGAAUAAUCCCCUGGAUUUGUCCUGGGCUCUGAAAGACUGCUUCAACCCAGUAGUUGAAAAAUGUUUAAGAAUGCAUUGUUCAGAUAUUGCAUUAGUAGUUCCCUAACGUAUUUACCUUGUUCUCUGGGAGUUAAUCACUAUGGGGGAGGAGUGUCGUAUCUGUGAUCUAUAUCUGUUUGUAUUAGUUACUAUGCUGUUACUAAGCAGUAAUGUAUUACGGCAGUGUUAUAUUACUACACCUAAUAGGAAAUGCACAUGUGCACUAUUGGACCGGGGCUGUAGAGCACGAGAGGAUUUGACUAAACAAAACAAACUGUACUCCCGUCUCCUGCCUGGUCAUUUCUCUACAACACAAAUAUUACAGUGACAAGGUAGAGGUGGUAUACAGAAGAUAGCCCUAUUUGGUAAAAGACCAAGUCCAUAUUAUGGCAAGAACCGCUCAAAUAAGCAAAGAGAAAGGACAGCCCAUUAUUACUUUAAGACAUGAAGGUCAGUCGAUCCAGAAAAUGUCAAGAACUUUGAAAGUUCCUUCAAGUGCAGUUGCAAAAACCAUCAAGGGCUAUGAUGAAACUCGCUCUCAUGAGGACCGCCACAGAGAAGGAAGACCCAGAGUUAAGUUCAUUAGAGUUACCAGUCUCAGAAAUUGAAGCCCAAAUAAAUGCUUCACAGAGUUCAAGUAACAGACAUCUAAACAUCAACUGUUCUGAGGAGUGAAUCAGGCCUUAAUUGGCGAUUUUCUGCAAAGAAACCACUACUAAAGGACACCAAUCAGAAGAAGAGACUUGCUUGGGCCAAGAAACACGAGCAGUGGAAAUCUGUCCUUUGGUCUGACGAGUCCAAAUUCAAGAUUUUUGGUUCCAACCGGUGUCUUUGUGAAACGCAGAGUAAGUGAACUGAUGAUCUCUGCAUGUGUGGUUCCCACCGAGAAGCAUGGAGGAGGAGGUCUGAUGGUGUGGGGGUGCUUUGCUGGUGACACUGUCUGUGAUUUAUUUAGAAUUCAAGGCACACUUAACCAGCAUGGCUACCACAGCAUUCUGCAGCGAUACGCCAUGCUAUCUGGUUUGCUCUUAGUGGGACUAUAAUUUGUUUUCCAACAGGACAAUGACCCAACACACCUCCAGGCUGUAUAAGGGCUAUUAGACCAAGAAGGAGAGUGAUCACUGCUGCAUCAGAUGCACUGGCUCCCACAAUCACCCAACCUCAACUCAAUUGAGAUGGUAUGGGAUGAGUUGCAUCGCAGAGUGAAGGAAAAGCAGCCAACAAAUGCUCAGCAUAUGUGGGAACUCCUUCAAGACUGUUGGAAAAGCAUUCCAGGUGAAGCUGGGUGAGAAAAUGUCCAUUGUGGGCAAAGCUGUCAUCAAGGCAAAGGGUGGCUAUCUUGAAGAAUCUCAAAUAUAAAAUAUAUUUUGAUUUGUUUAAUACUUUUUUGAUUACUACAUGAUUCCAUAUGUGCUAUUUCAUAGUUUUGAUGUAUUCACUAUUAUUCUACAAUGUAGAAAAUAGUAAAAAUAAAGAAAAACCCUGGAAUGAGUAGGUGUGUCCAAACUUUAGACUGGUACUGUAUAUGACACAGUUUUAUUGAUAUUACCAAUGAUCUUGGCUUCAGGAUUUUCUUCUUUUAGCUCUGCUAUUCUCUUUUCUAUUUCACUUAUUUGAUUCUCAAGACUAAAACACGUUGCAUUAUUCUCCUUCAGCUGUUUCUGCAGGUCUGUUUUAAAAGGAAGGAGCAUAAUCUAUCAGACAUUCUUAUCAAAGUAACACAACAAUCAAAUAAAAAAUGAAAUUUAGGACACUGUGGGUUUUACACCUAAAGUAAUGAUUAGAGCAGACUAGCGCUGUAGGCCUGUAGUGAUAAACAAGACAGGAACAGAGGAAGUGGUCUUUACCUUUGUUUUCAGCCUGAACUCUGUCAAUCUCGUCCUCUUUGUCCUGAACUUGUUGCAGAAGUGCUGGAGUUCAAACAGUUCAUUUUGAUACACAUUAGAAAAUUAGAGCAUCAUACUUCACACAACCCAAUGAGGGUGUAUUCACAGGAGGGUGCAUUCACAGGAGGGUGCAUUCACAGGAGGGUGCAUUCACAGGAACAUUGGAGAUAAUGACAAUAAAGAUCUCACCAGUGAUCUGGGCUGCUGUUGUCUGCAUCUGCUGUGUUGUUUGUAUCUGUAAAUCCCUCUGUUCCCUCAUUAUAGAAAUUAUCUUCAUAACUGGACAGAGAAAGAAAAUGAGCAAAGUAACAGGGUGGGAUUAUUUUAGUCUGUAUCCCUUCUUCAAAUCAUAUUUCAUAAAUUGUUGAAAAUAGCUUUUCUAUUUUCUGGACAGUUAGAUAUGAUCAAAAAUAUCAAAUUUGCUGCUUCACUCACUCAGCUGUACACUAGUCUCGUCCUCCCCCUUCAGUUGUUUCUUCCAAGCUUCUU